AUUGAACGCUGGCGGAAUGCUUUACACAUGCAAGUCGAACGGCAGCACGGGGCAACCUGGUGGCGAGUGGCGAACGGGUGAGUAAUACAUCGGAACGUGCCCAAUCGUGGGGGAUAACGUAGCGAAAGUUACGCUAAUACCGCAUACGAUCUACGGAUGAAAGCGGGGGAUCGCAAGACCUCGCGCGAAUGGAGCGGCCGAUGUCAGAUUAGGUAGUUGGUGGGGUAAAGGCUCACCAAGCCGACGAUCUGUAGCUGGUCUGAGAGGACGACCAGCCACACUGGGACUGAGACACGGCCCAGACUCCUACGGGAGGCAGCAGUGGGAAUUUUGGACAAUGGGCGCAAGCCUGAUCCAGCCAUUCCGCGUGCAGGAUGAAGGCC
rnacentral:rRNA from 1 species